CACACUCGCGUUCACACACACUCCUGUCUGCACAGUCGAGGGAGAAACAGACCCACGAGAUGGAGAGUGGGAGACACAGACAAAAACAGAGAUAGAGGGAGGAGGGAGAGGAGGGACGACAACUGUGAAGUUCAACUAAAGAGCGUGACACUGGAGAUCGUGAGGAGAGAGGAACUGAAGAAAGGAGUAAAAACGGUUGUGUCAGAGAGGCACUUCACACUCACUUCACAGCAAUUCCUGCAACAGGACAGUUAUUCACGUGGAGCGACAGUGAAGUGUGCCUGCUGUUCAAAUGUACUAAAAUGUUGCCACUGGAAUAUUGCCCUGAUCUGAGGUCUGCCACUGUGGACCGGCUCCAUUACAAAGGUCAGACGUAAAUAGUUCCUUUGAAUGGGAUGGCUUAAUUUCUGUCUGUCUGUCUGUCUGUCUGUCUGUUUGAUUGAUAAUAUCUCCAACCGUCGGAAUUAAUUACUGCAUAAUAAGUGUGCCUCUACCUGUUUGUCUGCCUUUUCUUUGCAACUGUCUGCUUACAGUAUGUAUGUCAUCCGUCUACCACAUGUGUGUCCUCUGUCUGUCUACAUGUCCAUCAGUCUGUGUGCCUCUCUGCGGGGUGUUGUUGGCAGCACAGAGUGGGAACAGAGGUCAUAAAAAGUUCUAGAAAAGCACCCGAGAGACGCAAUGUUAGUUGUGAAGUAAGGCCGGAGCCGCUCUAACAUUCCUCUCAUUGUUCAGAGGCCCUGUAAGUCAGCGAGCUCCCAAACCUCCAUGAAAGGAAGGGAAUCCAGCGGCUACUGUAGCUAACACAGUUUUAGCAACAGCUCAGGGCCGGCUGUCUCUGUCUUCCUGUCCGCCGUCCUGUCUGGUUCCCCUCUGGGACUGAGGUCGAAAGUGGAGCUGAAGGAGAUUAACAUGAUGCUGAAGCACAGAUUGAAAGACAAGAGUGAGUUAGUCCAAGCGAGGGAUCUGUUGCUUUGCUCUGUCUGUGACUGACUGUGACUUCUGAUAACCUCUCCGCCAUAAAAUAUGGGAAAGAGGAGGGAGAGGUAAUUAUCGUUAUCCUGCCUUUUUUAAUGAGGAAUCAUUGGAUUGGAGCGCCGGCCAGGGAAGGCCAAAUGGAUGCAUGGAGGGAGGAAUAGGUUGAGGAAAGAGGGAAUAGAAGGAGCUGAAGGGGGAGAGAAAGUGGGGAUCCAGAACUCAAGCCUUGGCUUUAGUGGGCUGGCUGGCUGAGUGGGUGGGUGGGUGUGCCCAGCAGAUAUACGUAGGAAUGGGCCCAGGCUCAGGAAACCGUGGCGUAGUGGAAUAAAAGUGUGUGUGUGUGUGUGUGUGUGUGUGUGUGUGUGUGUGUGUGCAGUUUCUGCAUCAAUUUGUGCAAAUGUGGUUCAGUGGCAGCAGGGCGGCUGCACACUAAGUACAGGGCUGGUGGUGGUGAGGGUGUUUGGCAACGGAUCAAGCUGAGGAUAGGGUUACAGGGAGCGGACUACGGGCUCGGGCUGGGUUCUUCACUGCUGAGCUUUACAGCACGAAGAGACUUUUCUCUCCUUUUUUUUUUUUUUUUUUUUUUUUUAAUCUGGAGCUGGAAAUACUUUUUUUUAAUUCUCAGACACUAAUGUGUCACAUGUGGUGUGUUGUGUUGAUUCCAGGCCAGCCAAUGAACGCUCCCCUUUUUUGAUUGAGGAGAACUGCAACAGAGAGGGCCCAUAGUAGUGCGCGAGUCCCUGUUUGAAUGUCACUGAAUGUCACAGCCUCAGCAAUAAUGAAGCCCUCACACGCAACACGAAACAAAUACAAUCUUACUCACAUGCACACACGUACCCAGACACACAGUCUGUCUGGAACAGAGGGUGUGGUGCUGCUGUGCUGUAAGGUGUGUGAGUUCAGGUUUAAGUUGGCGGGAUGUCUUCUGUAAUCUCCUUGCAGUUGUUAGUUUUUUUCCAGUAAAA